rnacentral:rRNA from 1 species
UUUAUGGAGAGUUUGAUCCUGGCUCAGAGUGAACGCUGGCGGCGUGCCUAAUACAUGCAAGUCGAACGAUGAAGCUUCUAGCUUGCUAGAAUGCUGAUUAGUGGCGCACGGGUGAGUAACGCAUAGGUCAUGUGCCUCUUAGUUUGGGAUAGCCAUUGGAAACGAUGAUUAAUACCAGAUACUCCCUACGGGGGAAAGAUUUAUCGCUAAGAGAUCAGCCUAUGUCCUAUCAGCUUGUUGGUAAGGUAAUAGCUUACCAAGGCUAUGACGGGUAUCCGGCCUGAGAGGGUGAACGGACACACUGGAACUGAGACACGGUCCAGACUCCUACGGGAGGCAGCAGUAGGGAAUAUUGCUCAAUGGGGGAAACCCUGAAGCAGCAACGCCGCGUGGAGGAUGAAGGUUUUAGGAUUGUAAACUCCUUUUGUUAGAGAAGAUAAUGACGGUAUCUAACGAAUAAGCACCGGCUAACUCCGUGCCAGCAGCCGCGGUAAUACGGAGGGUGCAAGCGUUACUCGGAAUCACUGGGCGUAAAGAGCGCGUAGGCGGGAUAGUCAGUCAGGUGUGAAAUCCUAUGGCUUAACCAUAGAACUGCAUUUGAAACUACUAUUCUAGAGUGUGGGAGAGGUAGGUGGAAUUCUUGGUGUAGGGGUAAAAUCCGUAGAGAUCAAGAGGAAUACUCAUUGCGAAGGCAACCUGCUGGAACAUUACUGACGCUGAUUGCGCGAAAGCGUGGGGAGCAAACAGGAUUAGAUACCCUGGUAGUCCACGCCCUAAACGAUGGAUGCUAGUUGUUGGAGGGCUUAGUCUCUCCAGUAAUGCAGCUAACGCAUUAAGCAUCCCGCCUGGGGAGUACGGUCGCAAGAUUAAAACUCAAAGGAAUAGACGGGGACCCGCACAAGCGGUGGAGCAUGUGGUUUAAUUCGAAGAUACACGAAGAACCUUACCUAGGCUUGACAUUGAGAGAAUCCGCUAGAAAUAGUGGAGUGUCUGGCUUGCCAGACCUUGAAAACAGGUGCUGCACGGCUGUCGUCAGCUCGUGUCGUGAGAUGUUGGGUUAAGUCCCGCAACGAGCGCAACCCCCUUUCUUAGUUGCUAACAGGUCAUGCUGAGAACUCUAAGGAUACUGCCUCCGUAAGGAGGAGGAAGGUGGGGACGACGUCAAGUCAUCAUGGCCCUUACGCCUAGGGCUACACACGUGCUACAAUGGGGUGCACAAAGAGAAGCAAUACUGCGAAGUGGAGCCAAUCUUCAAAACACCUCUCAGUUCGGAUUGUAGGCUGCAACUCGCCUGCAUGAAGCUGGAAUCGCUAGUAAUCGCAAAUCAGCCAUGUUGCGGUGAAUACGUUCCCGGGUCUUGUACUCACCGCCCGUCACACCAUGGGAGUUGUGUUUGCCUUAAGUCAGGAUGCUAAAUUGGCUACUGCCCACGGCACACACAGCGACUGGGGUGAAGUCGUAACAAGGUAACCGUAGGUGAACCUGCGGUUGGAUCACCUCCUUUCUAGA